AUUGAACGCUGGCGGCAGGCCUAACACAUGCAAGUCGAACGGUAACAGGAAGAAGCUUGCUUCUUUGCUGACGAGUGGCGGACGGGUGAGUAAUGUCUGGGAAACUGCCUGAUGGAGGGGGAUAACUACUGGAAACGGUAGCUAAUACCGCUUAACGUCGCAAGACCAAAGAGGGGGACCUUCGGGCCUCUUGCCAUCGGAUGUGCCCAGAUGGGAUUAGCUAGUAGGUGGGGUAACGGCUCACCUAGGCGACGAUCCCUAGCUGGUCUGAGAGGAUGACCAGCCACACUGGAACUGAGACACGGUCCAGACUCCUACGGGAGGCAGCAGUGGGGAAUAUUGCACAAUGGGCGCAAGCCUGAUGCAGCCAUGCCGCGUGUAUGAAGAAGGCCUUCGGGUUGUAAAGUACUUUCAGCGGGGAGGAAGGGAGUAAAGUUAAUACCUUUGCUCAUUGACGUUACCCGCAGAAGAAGCACCGGCUAACUCCGUG
rnacentral:rRNA from 1 species